rnacentral:rRNA from 1 species
UACGUAGGGGGCAAGCGUUGUCCGGAUUUAUUGGGCGUAAAGAGCGUGUAGGCGGCUUGGUAGGUCCGCUGUGAAAACUCGAGGCUCAACCUCGAGAUGUCGGCGGAAACCACUUGGCUAGAGUCCGGAAGAGGAGAGUGGAAUUCCUGGUGUAGCGGUGAAAUGCGCAGAUAUCAGGAAGAACACCGGUGGCGAAGGCGGCUUUCUGGACAGAUACCGACGCUGAGGCACGAAAGCUAGGGGAGCAAACAGG